rnacentral:lncRNA from 10 species
AUUCACUCAGAGCAGACCGAAGACUGUGAGACUUCCUCCCCACAGUGAGCUAAAAGGACGCUUUUGUCAGAGUGGGGAAAUAAAAGGGCUUUAUGGGAAGGAAGAUAAGAACAGAUGAGUCAGAGGUUUCUGCUUAAUGGUGAGUAUUUUUGUCUUAAAAUGUGUGUUUUUCUUCUUUGGAGAAGGUACUGCACUCUUUUUGUGUUUUGAGCUGGAGACUUUCUUUGAUAUGACUGGGUUUUAAGCUAGUUGGUUACAAAUGAAUAUUUGGGGCUUUAGAAAAUAUUCUUUAUGUUUGGAUGGGAUCUCCUAAGUACAUAAAUAAAUUGUUUUAUUAUUAACCUAAGUUUCUCUUGGUGAAAUUUUCUGUGUGUUUGACUGGCCACAGUGUAAUUUGCUUAAUUUUUGAACACAGUAAGAUUUAUCUACAAAUUAGAGGUGUUGCAAAGUUGAUUUAGUUUGAUAAUGAUUAGUUUUCUUUGUUUUUAUGUGUGUACACAGUGCAUUGGGUUUAAUAAGCUUUUUAUUGGAGUAAAUCAUUCGUGCAGAAAAAUGCAUUAAUCAUAAGCAUAUAGCUUAAUGCGUCACCACAACUUGAACACAUUUGUGUAAACAUAACUGUCUUAGUCUGCUGGGGCUGCUAUAGCAAAAUGCCACAGACUGGGUGGCUUAAACAACAGACAUUUAUUUCUCACAAUUCUGGAGCCUGGGAAGUCCAAGAUCAAGGUGCUGGCGGGGUUGGGUUCUGGUGAGGGCUCUCUUCCUGGCUUGUAGAUGACUGCCUUCUCACUGUGUCUUCACAGUGUAGAGAGAGCAUGAGCAAGCUCUCUGGUCUCUUCUUAUAAGGGCACUAAUCCCAUCAUGAGGACCCUACCCUCAUCACCGCAUCUAAACCUAAUUUCUUCCCAACGACCCCGUCUCCUAAUCCCACCACAUUUGGGAUUAGGGACUCAGUGCAUGAAUUUGGGGGGCACACAACAUUUAGUUCAUAAUAAUAACCAUCCAGUAAAGAUGCCUCUCUUGUGCUACCUCCCAAUCCCAGCCCUCUGCCCUCCCCAAGGUGACCACUAGCUUAACUUCUAACCACAUAGAGUUUUGCCUGUUUUUGAAUUUCAUAUAGUUAGAAUUAUACAGUAUAUAUUCUUUUCUUUUUGAGAGAAGGUCUCACUCUGUCACCCAGGCUGGAGUGCAGUAGCACGAUCUCAGUUCACUGCAACCUCUGCUUCCCAGGGUCAAGCAAUCCUCUGAGCUCAGCCUCCUGAAUAGC